GUGAUGGCCCUUAGUGGCUAAAAACUAUAUCCCAAACACCUGUGAACUGUUGAAUCGCGUCUUCGGAUGUGAUUCUUUUACAAACAUUGUGUAAUGAACGUCAUAACAUUAUAAACAAUA
rnacentral:misc_RNA from 1 species